GGGCCAUAGCUCAGUGGUACAGAACCUGCGUUGCACUCAGGAGGUCCUGGGUUCAAUCCCCAGCAUCUCCA